rnacentral:rRNA from 1 species
UAGGGAAUCUUCGGCAAUGGACGAAAGUCUGACCGAGCAACGCCGCGUGAGUGAAGAAGGUUUUCGGAUCGUAAAACUCUGUUGUUAGAGAAGAACAAGGACUUUAGUAACUGAACGUCCCCUGACGGUAUCUAACCAGAAAGCCACGGCUAACUACGUGCCAGCAGCCGCGGUAAUACGUAGGUGGCAAGCGUUGUCCGGAUUUAUUGGGCGUAAAGCGAGCGCAGGCGGUUUCUUAAGUCUGAUGUGAAAGCCCCCGGCUCAACCGGGGAGGGUCAUUGGAAACUGGGAGACUUGAGUGCAGAAGAGGAGAGUGGAAUUCCAUGUGUAGCGGUGAAAUGCGUAGAUAUAUGGAGGAACACCAGUGGCGAAGGCGGCUCUCUGGUCUGUAACUGACGCUGAGGCUCGAAAGCGUGGGGAGCAAACAGG